UGAAAGAAGGACAGGAAGGGGUGGAGGACUUGGCCUGCCUGGGCCUGGGUCUUCCCCAAAUCUCCCUUUCUUGUCACGAUUCUCAGAUUCUCAGGGACUCUGGCAUAGGGGGCAGCUAAGGGGCUAGGAGGAAGGGCUGAUUGGCAAGAAUUUGCUUUCUCAGUAAACAAGAACUGAGGCUUUCUUUACCUAGCACUCUAGGGAGGGGGCUGAGGGAGGGCAGCUGGGGUACAGGCCCUGUCACUCUCCUUGGUGGUGCUCACAGUUCACCUGGGAGAUAAGAUAACCUCAGUGUGAGGCAGACAUGGCACACUGUGAACAAAGGUCGGAUGAGGAGGCCAUGAAGAUACCAUGGGGGAGGAGGCUGGCCCUCUUAAGAGGGGCACUGGCUUCUUGGCGCCUGGGAAUGUACUGAGGGAGGCUGGUCCAGUACCUCCUGCCUGAAUAGGAGUUGAGGGCCCUAUUCAGGCUCUAUUCUCUGUUAAAUGCCCCAAGUUGCCCUCCAGAAGGCUGGGUGAUGGCUUGUAUGAUUUCCAGAGGGGUUGGGAAUUGGGGUUAUUUUGUGUGAGAUUGAUAGGGAGGUCCCUACUGGGCCAAGCUACAACCUAGGGUUAGGCAGGGGAGAGCAGUCACAUAUCUUCUUUGCACUGGCCAGUGAGCCUUUUCUGUGUCCCUGCUGUAUGAAGCCAGUGGGAGAGGAGGAGGGUCUCCCUGGGAAGAGGAAUAGUAGAUGGCAGCAAUAGGGCCAUCCAGGGCUGGAAAGUGAGCUAGCUGAUUAUCCAUUUGUGGGUCUUCAGGACAAGUAGGCUCUGUAUGCUUAUCUCUCCACCCUGGGGAGGCAGCAGGGCUUGAGGAUUGCUGGUUGGGGUGCUAGACUCCAUUCUCCUUGCUGUCAGGCCAGUCCUUGCUCUGGCUAUGUUCCCUGAACUUGGCCUGUAGCUCACCCCUUUGUCACCCUUUUCUCACCAGUUUUGUUUCCUACUUUUGGCCUAGCCAGCCUUCCUCUCCCCCUUCCUUCUGACUCCUUGAGCUCUGGCCUCUUCCCCUCCCCAACACUUCCUGCUCACCUGGGACUGGGCAGGCAAGCUAGGCUCUGGGUAUGAGCUCAUUUCUUCUGCCCUGUGGCAAGGUAAGGCUGUGAGGCAGGAAGGGGAGGUACUCCUUACUCUGCCUCCUGUUUACCCUUCCAGGCUCUGCAGACUCCCACUGGUCCUUAGUUCACAGGCACCCUAGGCAUGAUCUUGUGGUUUUGAGGUUCUCCUAGGUGUUUGUCCCUGGGUGUCCUACCUACCUCUCCAGCAGAGUGUGAGAGGCAUGGGGAGCCUGUCCCAACCAUCUGGUACUCCAGAGGUUGUUGUAGAGGAAGUGCUGAAGAGGUGGCAGCUGGGAGGGGAGCCAGCUCUCUGCUCCCCUCUUUGCUCUGCUUGGCCUUGGAGCUUGACUUUGUGGUCCAAGAGGUCCACACUUAAAAGCUGUCUUUGGGCAUGGUAUAGACCUUGGCAAGUGCAUCAUGGGGAUGCACAAUGCCCAUGUGAUAUUGAGUGUGGGGCAAGAAGGAGAGGGCACCCCUUCCUGCUCUGCCUGCAGUUCACCUGGGUGGGCUUGGGGCUGCAGGAGGGAGAGAGGGCUGUUACAGGUCCUCUUGGUCCCAGGGAGUGGGCGUAGGACAGUUGGAAGGUGCAUGGCAUGGGCAGGCUCUCUAGCAGGUGAAAGGAGGAAAAAAGUAUCUUGGGCAUGGCUGGACAGCACUCUCCUGCUUUGCAGCCUGCCCUCUAGCCCAUUUGCUGCUGACUACACUGGCAAGCCUGGGCCUUUGUGGGCAUUGGAGUAGGGGGGCUUCCUCCCCUGGGUCAGGGGCCUGCAUCAGGGGAUGGGGUCCCACCUGCAGUAGCUGGUGGACCUGAGGUAUGGGUGUGUGCCAUUGAGGAAGGCCUUGAA
rnacentral:lncRNA from 1 species